CAGCCGAGCGAGGGCGCCCCGGCCCGCUCCCCCCUGAACUCGCUCCGUAUGGACCCAGCUCCCCUCCAAAGUACAGACACGCCCCGCCGCCCGCUGCAGCCCCAGCGGCCACGCCCAGAAACUCCCUCUCCGGGGCCCUACAGCCCAGCCUCGGCCCUCACUCUUUACCCGGGCCCCUAGUCUGGUGUCCGGCAUGCUGGGCCCUCUGGGAAGAGAAGGAGAGUCACAGAGCAGCAGCCACAGCAGCCUUGGAAAAGAGGCCAGAUAUGCCAAGUGAGCUCCCAAACACGGAGACACGGAAAGAACCCAGCACAGGGAGCCAGGAAACCUGAGCAUUUGUCUAGGCCACUGACUGCACAUAUUUGGGUGAGUCACCUACUUGCUCUUGGAACAUUCUAGAACAUUCUGAAACACUUCCUCCCCAACUCAGUGUUUCCAUCGAUAAAGUGGGAGAAGUUUGGGCCAGAAGAGCUUUUGUAUCUGUCAGUUUACCUUGUCCUCUGGAGAGUCCAGGUGUAUAGAAUCUUUCUGACCAAGAACUUGAGACACCUCAAGAAGUCCAAUUCUCUGUCUA
rnacentral:lncRNA from 1 species